GUCCACGCCGUAAACGAUGGAUACUAGGUGUAGGGGUAUCAACUCCCCUGUGCCGCAGUUAACACAAUAAGUAUCCCGCCUGGGGAGUACGGUCGCAAGAUUAAAACUCAAAGGAAUUGACGGGGCCCGCACAAGCAGCGGAGCAUGUGGUUUAAUUCGAAGCAACGCGAAGAACCUUACCUGGACUUGACAUCCCUUGCAUAGCCUAGAGAUAGGUGAAGCCCUUCGGGGCAAGGAGACAGGUGGUGCAUGGUUGUCGU
rnacentral:rRNA from 1 species